UACGUAGGGUGCAAGCGUUAAUCGGAAUUACUGGGCGUAAAGCGUGCGCAGGCGGCUUUGCAAGACAGAUGUGAAAUCCCCGGGCUUAACCUGGGAACUGCAUUUGUGACUGCAUGGCUGGAGUGCGGCAGAGGGGGAUGGAAUUCCGGCGUGUAGCAGUGAAAUGCGUAGAUAUGCGGAGGAACACCGAUGGCGAAGGCAAUCCCCUGGGCCUGUACUGACGCUCAUGCACGAAAGCGUGGGGAGCAAACAGG
rnacentral:rRNA from 1 species